rnacentral:rRNA from 1 species
AACGUAGGGACAAGCGUUAUCCGGAUUUACUGGGCGUAAAGCGCCCGUAGGCGGCCUGACAAGUUGGACGUGAAAGCUCCUGGCUUAACUGGGAGAGGCCGUUCAAAACUGUCAAGCUAGAGUCUGGAAGAGGAGAGCGGAAUUCCCGGUGUAGUGGUGGAAUGCGUAGAGAUCGGGAGGAACACCAGUGGCGAAAGCGGCUCUCUGGUCCAAAACUGACGCUGAGGGCGAAAGCGUGGGAGCGAACGGG